rnacentral:rRNA from 1 species
GGGAAGAGCUCAAAUUUGAAAUCUGGCGUCCUCAGGGCGUCCGAGUUGUAAUCUAUAGAGGCGUUUUCCGUGCCGGACCGUGUCCAAGUUCCUUGGAACAGGAUAUCAAAGAGGGUGACAAUCCCGUACUUGACACGACGACCGGUGCUCUGUGAUACGUCUUCUACGAGUCGAGUUGUUUGGGAAUGCAGCUCAAAAUGGGUGGUGAGUUCCAUCUAAAGCUAAAUAUUGGCGAGAGACCGAUAGCGAACAAGUACCGUGAGGGAAAGAUGAAAAGCACUUUGGAAAGAGAGUUAAACAGUACGUGAAAUUGUUGAAAGGGAAACGAUUGAAGUCAGUCGUGACCGAGAGGCUCAGCCGGUUCUGCCGGUGUAUUCCCCUCGGUCGGGUCAACAUCAGUUUUGUCCGGUGGAUAAGGGCGGUAGGAAGGUGGCACCCUCGGGUGUGUUAUAGCCUGCCGUCGCAUACAUCGGGUGAGACUGAGGAACGCAGCUCGCCUUUAUGGCCGGGGUUCGCCCACGUCCGAGCUUAGGAUGUUGACAUAAUGGCUUUAAACGACCCGUCUUGAAA